GUAAACAAUGGCUGACAAAGAAGAUAUGCACAUUUUUUUCACAUCCACGGUUUAGUUCCCCUUAAUCUUCAUUGACAAUACAAUUCGGUGUGAGCGUAGUUGAGGAAGAGGCGUACGUAAAAUGGAUUGAUUAAUGAUUAUUUACACACGUUCGACAGGCUCAACAGACAGAUGGUCAGUGUUCAAUUAAAAGAACUCGAUUAAAAAAAUGGACUGGUGGCUUCACCCACAUUUAUUAGCAAUGCUGACAUGUUUCGUUACUCAAAAACAAUUUGAGCUCUACCAAUUUAAUCUUUAUCAGUACUGUGCACACAUUGUGGAUUGUUUCCCCCCCCAGCUCUGUUUUAAUGUGAAAUCUGCAAUUAGCAUUCACAUGCUGUGCUUGACUUGCUUGAUUAAUUCCAUUACAUUUUGUAAACGCAGACCAACUAUGAUGCCCAGUGAUGUUUUUGCAGGCUGAAAUGAGGACAUUUUUAGGCAAACCGAUGACACAGAGUUGUUGUUUUUCAUCUUUUUCCUAUCAAUGAAAAAUAAUGUCCUUUACAGUUAAUACACUCCAGAGUGCACGUUCACACGUUUAACAAGAUUUUUUUUUUUUAUUAACAUAUAACCAACUCCGAAUCAGCAUAAUUGCCAAUUAAGCCAAGCUCAAGUCUGUUUAAAGGUCACCAGGAAAUAGUGAGAUUUCCAAUGAAGGCUGAAACGACAGCUGAAACUCUCAGCCUGGUAAGCGUUUUUCUCUUCAGCAAA